UACGUAGGGUGCGAGCGUUAAUCGGAAUUACUGGGCGUAAAGCGUGCGCAGGCGGUCUGUUAAGACCGAUGUGAAAUCCCCGGGCUUAACCUGGGAACUGCAUUGGUGACUGGCAGGCUUUGAGUGUGGCAGAGGGAGGUAGAAUUCCACGUGUAGCAGUGAAAUGCGUAGAGAUGUGGGGGAACACCGAUGGCGAAGGCAGCCCCCUGGGUCAAGAUUGACGCUCAUGCACGAAAGCGUGGGGAGCAAACAGG
rnacentral:rRNA from 1 species